CUGGGAAACCCAGUUGCAUAAUUUGUGAUAG
rnacentral:snRNA from 1 species